AUGCUUUCCUGUGACUCACAUGGCUCUUCCCUCCUUGCUAGUGGCUCCAAGCUCAGGCGAGGAUCAAGGUGGCUACAACAUCACAUGCAGACCCAGCCCUGUCCAGGGCAAGAAGAGCAACCAUCUGUCUUCUCCUUCUGGUGGGUGGGGCUCCCCAUCUGCAGGUUCCCCCUGGGUCCCAGUGGGAGCUGCCCUUCUGCCUUUCAGAGCCCUCAGAACAGCAUCUUGGCGUCUGUCACCGACCGGCGUAGAAAUGGUGCUGGCUUCACCCGAGCUUCAGAUGCAGGUGUGCAGAGCCCCAGGGUUCAGAUCAAAGAGGGAAUCAUCUCUGAGGGCUCAGAUUCCCACCGCUCAGAGCCUCUGCGAACGGCGGAGAUGGUCCUGCCAAGGGAAGCCCGGGAAAGAUGCCCAGGGGUGCCUGGAGGAUGCGCCCCCUCCUCUCCUCUGCCAGUUCUUUCCCCCGUGUCUUUCUGUCCAUCUCUCUCUGGCUCUCUGCUGUGUCAGUCUUGCUCCCCGUUCCCUGCCUAUCCCCCAUCUCACCUCUCUCUCUCAUUUCCUGGCUUUUUCUCUCUCUGUCUCUGCCUGAUUCUCCCUCCCUUCCUUCCUCGUCUCCCCUCCAGCUCCUUCUCCCCCUCUCUGCUCCCUUGCCUUCUUGCUCUUCCCUCUCCGUGGCUGUCUUGCUCUCCGCCUCCCUCUCACUUCCUCUGGAGGAGGAUCUGUGUUGUGGGAUCAUGCCAAGCCCAGAGGGAAGGUCAGGGUACCCUGCAGAGACCAGUACAGACUGCCAUUAACCUGUCAGUUCUGCCUCCAGCAGGAACUGCAGCCAUUGGAGAUGGGGACAUCUCAGCUGGGCUGACAAUGGAGAGCAGAAGCCACCCAGUUCAGAGGGUUGCAGACGUGCUCUGGGGCACCAAGGACAGGUGGAGGGGGUUCCUGAAACCAGCCUUGCAUCACAGCCUGCCCUUGACUUCUGAGCCAGGGGCUGUCUGGGCAGAGGGAGAAUUUCGCUAG
rnacentral:lncRNA from 1 species